rnacentral:rRNA from 1 species
ACGAGGUGCUGCAGUGGCUGUCGUCAGCUCGUGUCGUGAGAUGUUGGGUUAAGUCCCGUAACGAGCGCAACCCUUGUCCUUAGUUACCAGCACGUUAUGGUGGGCACUCUAAGGAGACUGCCGGUGACAAACCGGAGGAAGGUGGGGAUGACGUCAAGUCAUCAUGGCCCUUACGGCCUGGGCUACACACGUGCUACAAUGGUCGGUACAAAGGGUUGCCAAGCCGCGAGGUGGAGCUAAUCCCAUAAAACCGAUCGUAGUCCGGAUCGCAGUCUGCAACUCGACUGCGUGAAGUCGGAAUCGCUAGUAAUCGUGAAUCAGAAUGUCACGGUGAAUACGUUCCCGGGCCUU